UACAGAGACUGCAAGCGUUAAUCGGAAUUACUGGGCGUAAAGCGUGCGUAGACGGUUAUGUAAGUCGGGUGUGAAAGCCCCGGGCUCAACCUGGGAAUGCCAUUCGAGACUGCAUAGCUAGGGUGCGGAAGAGGGAAGCGGAAUUUCCGGUGUAGCGGUGAAAUGCGUAGAUAUCGGAAGGAACACCAGUGGCGAAAGCGGCUUCCUGGUCCAGCACCGACGUUCAGGCACGAAAGCGUGGGGAGCAAACAGG
rnacentral:rRNA from 1 species